rnacentral:misc_RNA from 1 species
AGUCGAAGUUGGCCCCCGAAGCUCUUCCGUCACCCCCCCGGGCCUCCCGGGGAGGUUGCGGGCGGCGAGGGGUGCCUCCGGCCGCACGCCCAUUCUUUUCUACUGACCCGGUUGCCUCGGCGGGCCGCGCCUGCUGUGCUACAGCGGCCGUUCGGGGGGGACGCCUGAGGGGGACUCUUGUUUCCUAGGCCACGCCCCGGGCAGCGCUCGCCGGAGAUUACUCUGGAAAACACACUCUUGAAAGAACAUACCGUCUGAGCGAGCAACGCAAAUGAGUUAAAACUUUAACAACGGUAUUUGUUUUUUGUAUCAUGAAGAACGCAGCGAAAUGCGAUAGUAAUGUGAAUUGCAGAAUCGUGAUCAUCAAUCUUUGAACGC